GAUGAACGCUGGCGGCGUGCCUAAUACAUGCAAGUCGAGCGAACGGACGAGAAGCUUGCUUCUCUGAUGUUAGCGGCGGACGGGUGAGUAACACGUGGAUAACCUACCUAUAAGACUGGGAUAACUUCGGGAAACCGGAGCUAAUACCGGAUAAUAUUUUGAACCGCAUGGUUCAAAAGUGAAAGACGGUCUUGCUGUCACUUAUAGAUGGAUCCGCGCUGCAUUAGCUGGUUGGUAAGGUAACGGCUUACCAAGGCAACGAUGCAUAGCCGACCUGAGAGGGUGAUCGGCCACACUGGAACUGAGACACGGUCCAGACUCCUACGGGAGGCAGCAGUAGGGAAUCUUCCGCAAUGGGCGAAAGCCUGACGGAGCAACGCCGCGUGAGUGAUGAAGGUCUUCGGAUCGUAAAACUCUGUUAUUAGGGAAAAACAUAUGUGUAAGUAACUGUGCACAUCUUGACGGUACCCAAUCAGAAAGCCACGGCUAACUACGUG
rnacentral:rRNA from 1 species